CUGUACCUUACACUCAGCACAACAUCUUGGGCUCACAAUCACUCUGUGACCCUCUAAGUCACCCAGACCAUGAGGACAUGGUGAGAUUUGGGAAAUUCUAACCUUUUAAGGAAUUCCUGACCUUACAGAAUCUAGACCGUCAAGGGCAUCUUGUCUUCCUGCCUGUUCAGAGCCCCCAAUUUGCUUGAAUCUUGCAAAGUGCUGUUGACACUGAAAAACCACUCAACAUGCCAACCCCAACCCAGGAAAUACCCUGACCACACUAGCCUGAUCCAUAGGAUAUUUUGACGAAGAAAAGACAUAUCCAGGUCUCCCAAAGCACUCUGACCAUCCAACAUGCCUUUGACACAGGGGAUGUCUUAAUGCCAGGGCUCUCCAACCUUCCAGUGUACUCUGGUUGUCUCAGCCCUAGAGUUGUCAGUAGGCACCCUAGUCACUGUCACUCUCCCACUCUCCCAAUACACAGACAGCCCAGCACAGCUUCAACACACUAGGACCCCCUGAAUCCAAAAGGUGAUUAUUCUAACUCUUGAGAUUCUGUCCUCUCAAGGCAACUAUUCCCUGCAAGACCCUCUGUAGAAUACACAUUCCCAGAACUACCGGAACAUCUUCACCUCUACCAUACUCUCACCCCUCUGUAGAAUACACAUCCCAGAACUGCCAGGACACCUUCACUCUGCCAUACUGUCACCCCUCUGUAGAAUACACAUUCCCAGAACUGCCAGGACAUCUUCACUUCUGCCAUACUCUCACCCCUCUGUAGAAUACACAUCCCAGAACUGCCAGGACACCUUCACUUCUGCCAUACUCUCACCCCUCUGUAGAAUACACAUCCCAGAACUGCCAGGACACCUUCACUCUGCCAUACUCUCACCCGUCUGUAGAAUACACAUCCCAGAACUGCCAGGACACCUUCACUCUGCCAUACUCUCACCCGUCUGUAGAAUACACAUCCCAGAACUGCCAGGACACCUUCACUCUGCCAUACUCUCACCCGUCUGUAGAAUACACAUCCCAGAACUGCCAGGACACCUUCACUCUGCCAUACUCUCACCCCUGCCUAGCACACUGUGCUCAUCCAGGACCCUCUGAUUUCCUGAAAAUGCUUUGAUUGCACAAGAAUACCUUGGCACUCUACUCCAUGACAGAUCCAUUCAAGUCUACCCAAACCUUCAAGGACCACCUGAGCUCCAGAAAACCUUGAUCUCCCGCAUUCAAAUACCAAAAGUAUAUGCUGACCUACCUGAAAACCUUCACAGCUCUGGACUCCCAGAACAUCCAGGAGCCUCUGAAUCACGCAGCCAGACCAACCUCCAAAACAUCCUAACUCCAUGCAAGUGGUGUGAUCUUCCAGGACAGUCUGACCUCGAAGCUGGUGAUGUUGUAAGGAUACUUCAAGUGUUCUGACAUGAUGAAAAUGCCUGUAGGCCCAGAACACCUGCCUGCCCUGACGCCCUGUCUCUCCAAUACCCCUGCCUUCCCAAUACCCCUGCCUUCCCAAGAUGCUCCAAGUCUCCCAGACUCUCUGACUUUCACCAUUAAGAUCUCAUCUGAUCCUAUGUGAUCUCUUUGGA
rnacentral:lncRNA from 1 species